GGACCGCCGAAAAUGGGCCUACCGCGCCCGC
rnacentral:sRNA from 1 species